GAUUAAGCCAUGCAUGUCUAAGUACAACUGAUUACACAUGGCGACUCACGUCGUCAUACCAAGUGAAACCACAGACGGCUCAUUAAACCAGAUAUAACUCCCAGGAUCUGUAGCACCUUUUCGUUGCAUACUUGGAUAACUGUGGUAAUUCUAGAGCUAAUACAUGCCUUUAGAGACUGCGCCAGCAAUGGCGGAGCGCUUUUAUUAGACCAAAACCCUUGGGCACUUGCUUCGGCUUGUGCCACAACAAGCGGUGGUGAAUCUAGAUAACCACGCUGAGCGCAUGGUCCCUCUUUUUUGAGGCUGUAUCCUCCCCAGGAGAGCCAUUAUAAUAGAGAAAGGGACCUGCGCCGCAUCCUCCAAGUGUCUGACUUAUCAGCUGUCGACUUUAGGCCAAGCUCCUAAAGUGGCAAUAACGGGUAACGGGGAAUCAGGGUUCGAUUCCGGAGAGGGAGCCUGAGAAACGGCUACCACAUCUAAGGAAGGCAGCAGGCGCGCAAAUUACCCACUCCCGGCACGGGGAGGUAGUGACGAAAAAUACCGUUGCGGGUCUCACUCGAGGCCCCGCAAUUGGAAUGAGUACACUUUAAAUCCUUGCAUGAGGAUCGAGUGGAGGGCAAGUCUGGUGCCAGCAGCCGCGGUAAUUCCAGCUCCACUAGCGUAUAUUAAAGCUGCUGCGGUUAAAAAGCUCGUAGUUAGCUCUCUGUCCCGGACCGGCGGAGGUUAAACCCUGAGCGGCACCUUCCGUCCGGCCUCCGAGCUAUAAACCGUGUGCUGCUUUACGCGUAACGCUCGGGAUGCCCUUCACCGGGUGUCCCUUGCGGGCCACAGUUCCACUUUGAACAAAUAAGAGUGCUCAGAGCAGGCAAAGUCCCAUGCCUGAAUGGUGGUGCAUAGAAUGGAGAAAGAGGUCCUCGGCUCUAUUUUAUUGGUUUUCUGAGCCAGAGGAAAUGAUUAAUAGGGACAGACGGGGGCAUUCGUACUGCGACGAUAGAGGUGAAAUUCUUAGACCGUCGCAUGACGAACCACUGCGAAAGCAUCUGCCAAGGAUGUUUUCAUUAAUCAAGAACGAAAGUGAGAGGUUCGAAGGCGAUCAGAUACCGCCCUAGUUCUAACCCUAAACGAUACCAGCCAGCGAUCCGCCCGAGUUAAUCCCAUGACUCGGCGGGCAGCUUUCCGGGAAACCAAAGCUUUUGGGUUCCGGGGGAAGUAUGGUUGCAAAGCUGAAACUUAAAGGAAUUGACGGAAGGGCACCACCAGGAGUGGAGCCUGCGGCUCAAUUUGACUCAACACGGGGAAUCUUACCAGGCCCAGACACUGGAAGGAUUGACAGAAUGAAGGCUCUUUCUCGAUUCGGUGGGUGGUGGUGCAUGGCCGUUCUUAGUUGGUGGAGUGAUUUGUCUGGUUAAUUCCGAUAACGAACGAGACUCUUGCCUACUAACUAGUCGAUGGGCUCAGAAAGACCGCAGUCUCCCUUGCGCAAGCGAGGGCCGCCUCACGGCGGUUUAUUCUGCGGUCGAUUGUCCACUGUGAAUUGUAUGACGGAAGUAGCCAUGGCGGAAGGGUUUGCAAUAUCGGGGUGGCUGUGGAUGGGCUGGCGGUGGCCUCGUGUCCCGUCGGUCCUCCCUCCCCUCGUGAGCUCCUUCUCCAACCGUGGUCUUCCAAUGUCAGAGCCCAUGGAGAUAUCUUCUUAGAGGGAUAAGCGGCAGCAAUACAAGUCUUAGCCGCACGAGAUUGAGCCAUAACAGGUCUGUGAUGCCCUUAGAUGUUCUGGGCCGCACGCGCGCUACAAUGGAGAGCGCAGCAAGCUAUCCCCUUCUCCGGCAGGAGUGGGUAACCUCUUCAAAGCUGUCCCUAAAGGGGACUGGGGUUUGAAAUUGUGCCCCAUGAACGAGGAAUUCCCAGUAGGCGCAAUUCACCAGAUUGCACCGAUUUAGUCCCUGCCCUUUGUACACACCGCCCGUCGCUACUACCGAUUGAAUGGCCUAGUGAGGGCAUUGGACUGGCGCCCUUGGAGCGGUCCCUUCUCUCUCCUCGUGGGAGGAAGGGGUUUACACUGCUCCUUGGGUAUAAGACGGACAGAUGUCCAAGCUGGGUCAUUUAGAGGAAGUAAAAGUCGUAACAAUGUUUCCGUAU
rnacentral:rRNA from 1 species